CCUGUCCCUAGUGUUAGUCCUGUCUCUCUGUUGAAACGCCCUGUCCCUAGUGUUAGUCCUGUCUCUCUGUUGAAACGCCCUGUCCCUAGUGUUAGCCCUGUCUCUCUCUCUCUCUCUCUGUAGUCUGCAGAGGACCUGUUUGACUACGGGUCGUUAGGUCAGGUGGGUUCUGAGGCGGCGAUGCAGGCAGCUGACCUCUUGAUGGGAGACUUCAGGAUGAUUUCCUGUCAGGACAUCAAAUGGAGCCUCAACGCCAUGAAGGGGCACUACGCAAUCACACGCAAGGUUCGCUCGGCGUCUGUCUCUGUGUGUUUCAGGCCUCACUCGGCGUCUCUCUCUCUCUGUGUGUUUCAGGUCUCACUCGGCGUGUCUCUCUGUG
ensembl:lncRNA